ACAUACGCGUAGAGUUUGAUCCUGGCUCAGAACGAACGUUAGCGGCGCGCCUAACACAUGCAAGUCGCACGAGAAAGGGCUUCGGCCCCGGUAAAGUGGCGCACGGGUGAGUAACACGUGGGUAAUCUGCCCUCGGGCGGGGGAUAACAUUCCGAAAGGAGUGCUAAUACCGCAUAAGACCACGUCCUCGAAAGGGGAUGAGGUCAAAGCUGGCCUCUAUACAUAAGCUAGCACCUGAGGAUGAGCCCGCGGAGCAUCAGCUAGUUGGUGAGGUAAUGGCUCACCAAGGCUAAGACGCUUAGCUGGUCUGAGAGGAUGAUCAGCCACACUGGAACUGAGACACGGUCCAGACUCCUACGGGAGGCAGCAGUGGGGAAUCUUGCGCAAUGGGCGAAAGCCUGACGCAGCGACGCCGCGUGAGUGAUGAAGGCCUUCGGGUUGUAAAGCUCUGUGGGGCGAGACGAAUAAGUGCAGCCUAAUACGUUGCAUGAUGACGGUAUCGCCUUAGCAAGCACCGGCUAACUCUGUGCCAGCC
rnacentral:rRNA from 1 species